rnacentral:rRNA from 1 species
UACAGAGGGGGCAAGCGUUAUUCGGAAUUAUUGGGCGUAAAGGGCGCGUAGGCGGCCAUUCAAGUGACGGGUGAAAGCCCUCGGCUUAACCGAGGAACUGCCUGUCAGACUGGAUGGCUUGAGACCGGGAGAGGUGAGUGGAAUUCCCAGUGUAGAGGUGAAAUUCGUAGAUAUUGGGAAGAACACCGGUGGCGAAGGCGGCUCACUGGCUCAUUACUGACGCUCAGGCGCGAUAGCGUGGGGAUCAAACAGG